rnacentral:ncRNA from 1 species
GCUACCCUGGGAUAACAGGCUUAUCACUCCCAAGAGUUCACAUCGACGGAGUGGUUUGGCACCUCGAUGUCGGCUCAUCGCAUCCUGGGGCUGAAGUAGGUCCCAAGGGUUGGGCUGUUCGCCCAUUAAAGCGGUACGCGAGCUGGGUUCAGAACGUCGUGAGACAGUUCGGUCCCUAUCCGGCGCGGGCGUAGGAUAUUUGAGAGGAGCUGUCCUUAGUACGAGAGGACCGGGAUGGACUGACCUCUGGUGUAUCUGUUGGGUAUCAAACCCAUGGCAGAGUAGCCAAGUCGGGACGGGAUAAACGCUGAAGGCAUCUAAGCGUGAAGCCCCCCUCAAGAUGAGAUAUCCCAUCGCAAGAGUAAGACCCCUUGAAGACGACGAGGUAGAUAGGGCAGAGGUGGAAGCAUGGCAACAUGUGCAGCUGACUGUUACUAAUCGGUCGAGGGCUUAACCAA